AAGGUAUCCGGGCUGCCGUGAGCAGGGUGAAGGACAGAGGACAGAAGGCCUUGGUUCUCGACAUUGGCACUGGCACGGGACUCUUGUCAAUGAUGGCGGUCACAGCAGGUGCCGACUUCUGCUAUGCCAUCGAGGUAAGCUUGGAGGCUGAAGCAGCUCCACUGUGAAUGCUAAUCCUCCACGCUGACUUCUGACCAACCCCAGCUUCAGGAAUGCCUCUAAAAUUUCCGCUCUCAUGCACUUUGAUGUAAAUCCUGCCCUCAGGUCAGAACAACUUUGAUGUUAUCAUAAAUACAUACUUACCGUAAAUCCUGCCCUUCGUCAAAUUCCCUGUGGUAUGUAAGCCCUGCGUCUGAGCCAUAACAGUGUGGGGGCCCAGUUUCUCACUGCCCGAGACAAGGCUUCUGUUUGUAUGUCUCUAUAAAGUGUGUCUUUCUGAGAAGCUGGAUUUGCCAGUCUUUCCUCAGCCUCUCAGCUCCCGUGGCCUGUUGGGGUAGGUUUGCAUAGAGCUGCCCACCAUGGAACAGUAUGUAUGUAUAG
rnacentral:lncRNA from 10 species